CACAUAGACUGUGAUCUUGGAGUUGUUUUCCUGAGCUGUCGACAUUUUUCUGUUUUUUUUUUCGUUUUUUAAUACCUUCCGAUAAAACUGGUUUAUUUACGUAGAUUGAGUCUUUGAUCUAUUUUUGUUCUUUUUUAUACCGAUAUAUAUUUUUUUUAAUAGAUACCAGCAUAGACUACAUAUGGGAGAGGAGAGACAAAGAGCUUUAGAGC
rnacentral:lncRNA from 1 species